rnacentral:lncRNA from 1 species
CGGUUAGGGCCUCGCCGUCCUGCUUCCACCCCUCAGGGAGGCCUCCGUGAUUCGGCCUCAGCCUCCGUCGCUCUGUGACCUGUGGGUAUUGGAUGAUUCCUAGCUGAGACUCUGCUACACCCCUGAAGUGGGGAAAUGACUAUUUAAUCAGCUGGCAGAUCAACAGGCCAAAAUUUCCACCACAACUGCAAACUUGAAUGUGGAUGAAUGGAUUACAUGUUCAAGCCUGGUAAUGAGAGGCAUUAUAAUGGAAUAACCUAUCUACUAAUGGUCAGCACAUGUGUCUUUGUAUCUGAGGCCAAGGAUAAAUUCAUCAACUGGGUAGCCACCACUAUAGAAGAAGCCAACCACAAUCAAUGUCGGCUAUGCGUCCAGCUGCCAGAGGCCGCCAGGAAUGAGCUACCUUGAAGAAUCGUCCGUGACAACAUUUCUGAAUGGCUAUGUCACUAUCAAUGGGGCCACAACAACAACACUUGCAAUCCAACCUGAACUUCCUAUGACCAAACCAAGCAAUCUAUUUAUGCCCAAGUCAAGUGAAAGGUGAACUCCACCUUCACCAUGCAUCAAAAGCCUUGGUAUCCUGCCCAAUAUGCCUGGAACGGUAUAUAUUGGGAACCUGCUGUGCUGGUGGCCGGAUUCCAUAUAGCUCCCCACCCACCCGCCACUUUGUCUGGAGGCCUUAAAUGGCUCCUCUAAUGUUCCUCUGGGUUUCUCCCACCAGACAACUGUCAACACAUACUCCAAAUCAACAGC